UCUGUUUCACCUCAUGGUGAAACACUGAAAGACGGUUUCGGCUGUCGCUAUAGGAUGGGCCCGCGGCGCAUUAGCUAGUUGGUGAGGUAACGGCUCACCAAGGCGACGAUGCGUAGCCGACCUGAGAGGGUGAUCGGCCACACUGGGACUGAGACACGGCCCAGACUCCUACGGGAGGCAGCAGUAGGGAAUCUUCCACAAUGGGCGAAAGCCUGAUGGAGCAACGCCGCGUGAGUGAAGAAGGAUUUCGGUUCGUAAAACUCUGUUGUAAGGGAAGAACAAGUACAGUAGUAACUGGCUGUACCUUGACGGUACCUUAUUAGAAAGCCACGGCUAACUACGUGCCAGCAGCCGCGGUAAUACGUAGGUGGCAAGCGUUGUCCGGAAUUAUUGGGCGUAAAGCGCGCGCAGGUGGUUUCUUAAGUCUGAUGUGAAAGCCCACGGCUCAACCGUGGAGGGGUUCAUUGGAAACUGUGGAGACUUGAGCUGCAGAAGAGGAUGGAUAAGUGGAAUUUCCCAAGUGUAAGCGGUUGAAAUGCGUAGAGAUUUGGAGGAACAACCCAGUGGCGAAGGCUGGACUAUCUCGGUCUGUUAACUGACACU
rnacentral:rRNA from 1 species